CCUGGUAGCUCAGAUGGUAAAGCGUCUGCUUACAAUGCGGGAGACCCGGGUUCGAUCCCUGGGUCAGGA
rnacentral:tRNA from 1 species